rnacentral:misc_RNA from 1 species
AUAUGAAACGUAUUGCAGAGAGCCUACAAAGUAGAGAGGUGUGUUGAAUUCUGUGAAUUUUGUUUGAGUGAUUUUGAGGAUGAGAAAAAUAAUUAGUUGUUGUAAUUAUUUUUCUUUAAUAGUAAAUUUGUUUAGUGGAGUAGGCUUAUGCUGAACCACGUUAAAUUUAAUUUUAUGUUUUUUAUUUUGUGUGAGUAUGAUUUUUCACGACAGGACUAAAAGACAAGAAAUCUUAGGGCAGCUGCUACAUCCAAACUAGAAAUAAAACAAAACCAUAAUGCGAGGCCUAUUUAAUCUCCAAAUAAGAUUUGCAGAAAAAUGCAAGUGGAUUGUCAAUCAGAUGGUUUAAUCUUCAUUUAGACUCUUAUGGUCUUCUACACAACUUUCAAGUUUUCCUUGCAGGUUGAUAUAGAGUAAUUAAUAUUGUGUAUGGCUGCAAGCAAGAGCCAAUGUCAUCCUAAUCCUAUAUAUAGAAAUGUGUGCAUCAUUCACUAGCUUUCAUCACAAAUUGAAAGUAACAGCGCAAUCAUAUUCUCACAGCUUUCCCAGGGUGUGUUGCACGUGCUGCAAGAAAAGCAGCUAUGCUAUCAGUUGUUCCUGUGCAUACAACACAAUCUUCUGGAAAUCCUGCAAGGAUGCAUUAUACCAAAUAUCAAAUCACAAUGCCUAAAAUGGAUAAAAUGGGCAGAUUGCAGCCUCAAAACUUGAAAUUUGGUGAGUUUGGAGCAGUUUUAAGGUGCAGUAGCAGGGAACAGGGGAAUUCACAGGCAUAAUUUCCUAAAAAAAUCAUUGCUUUUGGAGUAAACAGACAUAAAUUCAAAGAUAGUAUAACUUCAAAUUGAAUAAUUUGAGGCAAUAGGACGAUAAAAUACAGCAAUCUUGCAUGUCAGGAGGCCAUUUUUAAUCAUAAAUUGUUGCUGAAUGGCAUAAUCGAUUCUCUCUGUGAGCUAUGAGAGGUCAUUUUCCGAUAAUCUGUCUGUCAAUCCAAAGUUUAACGAAGUCCAUGGAACUUAUCAGUAAGUCACUUGCAGUUUCAAAACUUAGUAAAAGCUUAUUGCUCUAUUUUCUGUCAAACAGAAACAAGAUGAAGAAAAGCCAAUUUUAUUCUUGGCCCUCGAAAUGUGCCAAAAAUUUCAAGGAGCAUAUCAGCAUAGAUUUAAAUCUCCAUGAAUUAGUAUAAGGCCAAAUAAGGGUUAUCUAAGUAUAUUAGGAACAUCUUAGGGCUCAGCUCCAUUCAAAUGCCAGAUCAAGUGAUGUCAAAGUUCAUCAGGCAUUAGAAGUCAUAUUACUAACUCAACCAAAUGGAUAUUAGUUAUAUAAGAUCUUAUAAUCAUAACUAUGUCACCCAGAUUUUCGUAUCCUUGAAUAAAACUUCAACAAGUUGACUAAAUAUCCCAUUGACUAACUUGUAUAAAGAGAGCUGAGAGAAUAACAAAACUGUGUUACUGGGCUACUUAAUAAUAAGGAAGCAUACCGAACUGGGUUCUAAUAUCCUCUUUUAAACAACCAAUUGAAGUUCCCGGAGCUGUAACAGAAGGUAAAACCUGUGAAUAUGGCUGAGCAAGCAGCCAUGGUGGAUAAGAAUCCACUUCUGGAUCAUAGCCAACCUUUAGAGCAUUAUUGUAAUCAGACACUCCAAGUUUUCCGUGAAGAAGCCACAAAAGCCAAUCUGCUUGGUGCAAUAAUAAUGCUGACUUUUUAUUUGAAUCCUCAGCAUUCCACCACGAGACAAGCUUGCACAGGGUAGACGAUCCAGAGCAGACUGUAUGGUUUACAGGAGCAAUUGAUUUUACCAUUGGCAAUGCAUCGGGACAACUCUCAUUGUAGAGGAAAGGUCUCCAUAAUGGUUCUCCUGUAGUGCCGUCCACAAUGAUAGUAGUCGCAGAAGUACCAUCAAUAGAAAUAGAAGCAACAAGCGGGCGGAAAUGAACAGGAACAUCCUUUAGAAGCGAGAAAAUUGUUGUCUUCCAAGAUUGGAUCCAAUCCAUUGUUUCCCCACUCUUUCUAGACAGCAGAAACAAGAUUCUCAAACUAUGUUGUCAACUAAAUUUUGCUGGAAUUAAUACACCAUUGAGAUUCUUUUUUUCCUCUUCUUUUCUUUUUUUCGCACAUUCAAUUGCAUAUCUUGAGAGAGAGUAUGCCAAUAAGCACCAUGCAGAUAAAGAUACAGGAUAAACUAAAGCAGCAGCUUGAAAAGCAAGGAAAAUACAAUUCUUGCUAAACUUGAGAUUGAUCACACAAUUUCCAGAAGAAUUUCGCGUACAUGGUGAGGUAUUCAACUCCAAUCCAAGUUACAGAACUCCAAAACGAUUCUCAAAAAAUCCAUUUCCAAUUCUGGGCAUUUCAAUUCUUCAUACAUGAGAAGAAUUUCAAAAACUAUAGUUUGACAAGAAAAAAUCUUACCAUACAAAGCGGGUAUUCUCUCUUUCCUUCAGAAUGAAUAGUCCCAUGUUUGUCAAUAAGAGCAUAUCUGGCACCGGAGGUUCCAAAGUCCAUUCCUAGAUAAAGUCGCUCUCCAGGUUGAAGAACAGCUUCUUGGCUAUCUUUAUUGCUCGCAAAAGCCAUUAUCGCUCGUGGGUUUGGUUUUCUUGUGGCGCCAUGUAGCUCAGUUCUUGAAACAGACCUUCUCAGACUCCAAUACCUGGAUUUUGGAAACAGUGGACAGAGAACGGGGAAGAAAAAUGUAAGGUGGUGAAGUGAGACAGCCAUGAACUAUUCAGAAC